rnacentral:rRNA from 1 species
GGGUUGUGAGGUUAAGCGACUAAGCGUACACGGUGGAUGCCCUGGCAGUCAGAGGCGAUGAAGGACGUGCUAAUCUGCGAUAAGCGUCGGUAAGGUGAUAUGAACCGUUAUAACCGGCGAUUUCCGAAUGGGGAAACCCAGUGUGUUUCGACACACUAUCAUUAACUGAAUCCAUAGGUUAAUGAGGCGAACCGGGGGAACUGAAACAUCUAAGUACCCCGAGGAAAAGAAAUCAACCGAGAUUCCCCCAGUAGCGGCGAGCGAACGGGGAGCAGCCCAGAGCCUGAAUCAGUGUGUGUGUUAGUGGAAGCGUCUGGAAAGGCGCGCGAUACAGGGUGACAGCCCCGUACACAAAAAUGCACAUGCUGUGAGCUCGAUGAGUAGGGCGGGACACGUGGUAUCCUGUCUGAAUAUGGGGGGACCAUCCUCCAAGGCUAAAUACUCCUGACUGACCGAUAGUGAACCAGUACCGUGAGGGAAAGGCGAAAAGAACCCCGGCGAGGGGAGUGAAAAAGAACCUGAAACCGUGUACGUACAAGCAGUGGGAGCACGCUUAGGCGUGUGACUGCGUACCUUUUGUAUAAUGGGUCAGCGACUUAUAUUCUGUAGCAAGGUUAACCGAAUAGGGGAGCCGAAGGGAAACCGAGUCUUAACUGGGCGUUAAGUUGCAGGGUAUAGACCCGAAACCCGGUGAUCUAGCCAUGGGCAGGUUGAAGGUUGGGUAACACUAACUGGAGGACCGAACCGACUAAUGUUGAAAAAUUAGCGGAUGACUUGUGGCUGGGGGUGAAAGGCCAAUCAAACCGGGAGAUAGCUGGUUCUCCCCGAAAGCUAUUUAGGUAGCGCCUCGUGAAUUCAUCUCCGGGGGUAGAGCACUGUUUCGGCAAGGGGGUCAUCCCGACUUACCAACCCGAUGCAAACUGCGAAUACCGGAGAAUGUUAUCACGGGAGACACACGGCGGGUGCUAACGUCCGUCGUGAAGAGGGAAACAACCCAGACCGCCAGCUAAGGUCCCAAAGUCAUGGUUAAGUGGGAAACGAUGUGGGAAGGCCCAGACAGCCAGGAUGUUGGCUUAGAAGCAGCCAUCAUUUAAAGAAAGCGUAAUAGCUCACUGGUCGAGUCGGCCUGCGCGGAAGAUGUAACGGGGCUAAACCAUGCACCGAAGCUGCGGCAGCGACGCUUAUGCGUUGUUGGGUAGGGGAGCGUUCUGUAAGCCUGCGAAGGUGUGCUGUGAGGCAUGCUGGAGGUAUCAGAAGUGCGAAUGCUGACAUAAGUAACGAUAAAGCGGGUGAAAAGCCCGCUCGCCGGAAGACCAAGGGUUCCUGUCCAACGUUAAUCGGGGCAGGGUGAGUCGACCCCUAAGGCGAGGCCGAAAGGCGUAGUCGAUGGGAAACAGGUUAAUAUUCCUGUACUUGGUGUUACUGCGAAGGGGGGACGGAGAAGGCUAUGUUGGCCGGGCGACGGUUGUCCCGGUUUAAGCGUGUAGGCUGGUUUUCCAGGCAAAUCCGGAAAAUCAAGGCUGAGGCGUGAUGACGAGGCACUACGGUGCUGAAGCAACAAAUGCCCUGCUUCCAGGAAAAGCCUCUAAGCAUCAGGUAACAUCAAAUCGUACCCCAAACCGACACAGGUGGUCAGGUAGAGAAUACCAAGGCGCUUGAGAGAACUCGGGUGAAGGAACUAGGCAAAAUGGUGCCGUAACUUCGGGAGAAGGCACGCUGAUAUGUAGGUGAAGCGACUUGCUCGUGGAGCUGAAAUCAGUCGAAGAUACCAGCUGGCUGCAACUGUUUAUUAAAAACACAGCACUGUGCAAACACGAAAGUGGACGUAUACGGUGUGACGCCUGCCCGGUGCCGGAAGGUUAAUUGAUGGGGUCAGCGCAAGCGAAGCUCUUGAUCGAAGCCCCGGUAAACGGCGGCCGUAACUAUAACGGUCCUAAGGUAGCGAAAUUCCUUGUCGGGUAAGUUCCGACCUGCACGAAUGGCGUAAUGAUGGCCAGGCUGUCUCCACCCGAGACUCAGUGAAAUUGAACUCGCUGUGAAGAUGCAGUGUACCCGCGGCAAGACGGAAAGACCCCGUGAACCUUUACUAUAGCUUGACACUGAACAUUGAGCCUUGAUGUGUAGGAUAGGUGGGAGGCUUUGAAGUGUGGACGCCAGUCUGCAUGGAGCCGACCUUGAAAUACCACCCUUUAAUGUUUGAUGUUCUAACGUUGACCCGUGAUCCGGGUUGCGGACAGUGUCUGGUGGGUAGUUUGACUGGGGCGGUCUCCUCCUAAAGAGUAACGGAGGAGCACGAAGGUUGGCUAAUCCUGGUCGGACAUCAGGAGGUUAGUGCAAUGGCAUAAGCCAGCUUGACUGCGAGCGUGACGGCGCGAGCAGGUGCGAAAGCAGGUCAUAGUGAUCCGGUGGUUCUGAAUGGAAGGGCCAUCGCUCAACGGAUAAAAGGUACUCCGGGGAUAACAGGCUGAUACCGCCCAAGAGUUCAUAUCGACGGCGGUGUUUGGCACCUCGAUGUCGGCUCAUCACAUCCUGGGGCUGAAGUAGGUCCCAAGGGUAUGGCUGUUCGCCAUUUAAAGUGGUACGCGAGCUGGGUUUAGAACGUCGUGAGACAGUUCGGUCCCUAUCUGCCGUGGGCGCUGGAGAACUGAGGGGGGCUGCUCCUAGUACGAGAGGACCGGAGUGGACGCAUCACUGGUGUUCGGGUUGUCAUGCCAAUGGCACUGCCCGGUAGCUAAAUGCGGAAGAGAUAAGUGCUGAAAGCAUCUAAGCACGAAACUUGCCCCGAGAUGAGUUCUCCCUGACUCCUUGAGAGUCCUGAAGGAACGUUGAAGACGACGACGUUGAUAGGCCGGGUGUGUAAGCGCAGCGAUGCGUUGAGCUAACCGGUACUAAUGAACCGUGAGGCUUAACCUUACAACGCCGAAG